AGCGAACGCUGGCGGCAGGCCUAACACAUGCAAGUCGAGCGCGCCCUUCGGGGUGAGCGGCGGACGGGUGAGUAACGCGUGGGAACGUGCCCUUUUCUACGGAAUAGCCUCGGGAAACUGAGAGUAAUACCGUAUACGCCCUUUGGGGGAAAGAUUUAUCGGAAAAGGAUCGGCCCGCGUUGGAUUAGGUAGUUGGUGGGGUAAUGGCCUACCAAGUCGACGAUCCAUAGCUGGUUUGAGAGGAUGAUCAGCCACACUGGGACUGAGACACGGCCCAGACUCCUACGGGAGGCAGCAGUGGGGAAUCUUAGACAAUGGGGGCAACCCUGAUCUAGCCAUGCCGCGUGAGUGAUGAAGGCCUUAGGGUUGUAAAGCUCUUUCAGCUGGGAAGAUAAUGACGGUACCAGCAGAAGAAGCCCCGGCUAACUCCGUG
rnacentral:rRNA from 1 species